GACGUAGGGUGCAAGCGUUGUCCGGAAUUAUUGGGCGUAAAGAGCUCGUAGGCGGUCUGUCGCGUCUGCUGUGAAAACUCGGGCUUAACCCCGGGCCUGCAGUGGGUACGGGCAGACUAGAGUGUGGUAGGGGAGACUGGAAUUCCUGGUGUAGCGGUGAAAUGCGCAGAUAUCAGGAGGAACACCGAUGGCGAAGGCAGGUCUCUGGGCCACUACUGACGCUGAGAAGCGAAAGCAUGGGGAGCGAACAGG
rnacentral:rRNA from 1 species